AGGACACACACCAGAGGUAUGAAAAUGUCCAAAUAUUACCUGGAAUGGUCACGCCAUAGACAUUAGCCUCCUCAAUGCAGUCUAUCAUGUGCAAAAGAUCAGCCACCUCUGUGGUCGCCACAUUUUCACCUUUCCACCUG